UACAGAGGGUGCGAGCGUUAAUCGGAAUGACUGGGCGUAAAGGGCGCGUAGGUGGGUUGAUAAGUGAGAUGUAAAAGCCCCGGGCUUAACCUGGGAAAGUGAUUUUAGACUGUCAACCUGGAGUACAGUAGAGGGUAGAAGAAUUUCCGGUGUAGCGGUGAAAUGCGUAGAUAUCGGAAGGAACACCAGUGGCGAAGGCGGCUACCUGGACUGAAACUGACACUGAGGCGCGAAAGCGUGGGUAGCAAACAGG
rnacentral:rRNA from 1 species